AUAUACGUCUUUUUAAAAGUAAAACAUAUUCAAGAUGAGUGACUCAGCUGCAAAAGGACGUCCCAUGAGAUUUCCUUAUACAAUGACAGCCAGAAUUGCUCAAUUUCCAUACAAAUUUUACUGGAAUAAAAAUUGGCUCUUCAAAUAUUACAUCUUAGGCUUUCUUGUUUCAAUACCAAUUUUCAACAAAAUUGGAAAUGCCAGUUAUAGUCCUGAGAAUGUGAAGAUGUGGGAGGAAAUUCGAAGGAAGCGUUUUUCAGGAGAACAUCAUUAAUAUUUACAUAUAUAUGUAAUUCAUUAGUAGUAGUUUGGAUGCUGAACUUGAAGAAAACAAAAAUACAACCCAAGAAAUCAGUUUAAAUUGUAUGAAUGAUUAAAGUAAAUAAAUUUCUGUAAGACAGUUA